UUUAUUCCUAAAAUUCUAGAUAUUUCGAUCAACUCAUUCUGCUGGUUGUUAUGCUGACAAUUGAUGAUUAAGCAUCACAACCUCCUAGAAAGAGUAGACCGAUUCUAUCUUAUCUUUUUACGUAUUUA
rnacentral:precursor_RNA from 14 species